UACGGGAGGCAGCAGGUGGGGAAUAUUGCACAAUGGGCGAAAGCCUGAUGCAGCUAUGCCGCGUGUAUGAAGAAGGCCUUAGGGUUGUAAAGUACUUUCAUCGGGGAGGAAAAAACAAAACUAAUAAUUUUAUUUCUUGACGUUACCCGAAAAAGAAGCACCGGCUAACUCCGUGCCAGCAGCCGCGGUAAUACGGAGGGUGCUAGCGUUAAUCAGAAUUACUGGGCGUAAAGAGCACGUAGGUGGUUUUUUUAAGUCAGAUGUGAAAUCCCUGGGCUUAACCUAGGAACUGCAUUUUGAAACUGAAAUACUAGAGUAUCGUAGAGGGAGGUAGAAUUCUAGGUGUAGCGGUGAAAUGCGUAGAUAUCUGGAGGAAUACCUGUGGCGAAAGCGGCCUCCUAAACGAAUACUGACACUGAGGUGCGAAAGGCGUGGGGAGCAAACAGGGAUUAGAUA
rnacentral:rRNA from 1 species